rnacentral:rRNA from 1 species
GACGAACGCUGGCGGCGUGCUUAACACAUGCAAGUCGAACGGGCCCGCUCUCUUUUUUGGGGGUGGGUUGAGUGGCGAACGGGUGAGUAUCACGUGAGUAACCUGCCCCCUGCUCCUGGAUAACUGCUUGAAAGGGCGGCUAAUACGGGGUGUGCCGGCUGGUCCGCAUGGGCCUGGUCGGGAUAGUUUCAUCUUCGGGUGUUUCGGUGGGGGAUGGGCUCGCGGCCUAUCAGCUUGUUGGGGGGGUGAUGGCCCACCAAGGCGGUGACGGGUGGCCGGCCUGGGAGGGUGGGCGGCCAAGCAGGGACGGAGACACGGGCCAGACUCGUGGGGGAGGCAGCAGGGGGGGGUAUUGCACAAUGGACGGAAGCCUGAUGCAGCGACGGCGCGUGAGGGAUGGAGGCCUUCGGGUUGUGAACCUCUUUCUCCGGUGGUGAAGGCCCUGUCCGUUGCGGCGGGGUUGACGGUAGCCGGGUAUGAAGCGCCGGCUAACUACGUG